rnacentral:rRNA from 1 species
GACGAACGCUGGCGGCGUGCUUAACACAUGCAAGUCGAACGAAGAGCGACGGAAGCUUGCUUCUAUCAAUCUUAGUGGCGAACGGGUGAGUAACGCGUAAUCAACCUGCCCUUCAGAGGGGGACAACAGUUGGAAACGACUGCUAAUACCGCAUACGAUCUAACCUCGGCAUCGAGGAUAGAUGAAAGGUGGCCUCUACAUGUAAGCUAUCACUGAAGGAGGGGAUUGCGUCUGAUUAGCUAGUUGGAGGGGUAACGGCCCACCAAGGCGAUGAUCAGUAGCCGGUCUGAGAGGAUGAACGGCCACAUUGGGACUGAGACACGGCCCAGACUCCUACGGGAGGCAGCAGUGGGGAAUCUUCCGCAAUGGACGAAAGUCUGACGGAGCAACGCCGCGUGAGUGAUGACGGCCUUCGGGUUGUAAAGCUCUGUUAAUCGGGACGAAGGGCCUUCUUGCGAAUAGUGAGAAGGAUUGACGGUACCGGAAUAGAAAGCCACGGCUAACUACGUG